rnacentral:rRNA from 1 species
UUGAACGCUGGCGGCAUGCUUUACACAUGCAAGUCGAACGGUAACAGGGAGCUUGCUCCGCUGACGAGUGGCGAACGGGUGAGUAAUGCAUCGGAACGUGCCUAUUUGUGGGGGAUAACGUAGCGAAAGUUACGCUAAUACCGCAUACGACCUGAGGGUGAAAGCGGGGGAUCGCAAGACCUCGCGCGAUAGGAGCGGCCGAUAUCGGAUUAGCUUGUUGGUGAGGUAAAGGCUCACCAAGGCGACGAUCCGUAGCUGGUCUGAGAGGACGACCAGCCACACUGGAACUGAGACACGGUCCAGACUCCUACGGGAGGCAGCAGUGGGGAAUUUUGGACAAUGGGGGCAACCCUGAUCCAGCCAUUCCGCGUGAGUGAAGAAGGCCUUCGGGUUGUAAAGCUCUUUCAGCAGGAACGAAACGGUGGCUACUAAUACUAGCUACUAAUGACGGUACCUGAAGAAGAAGCACCGGCUAACUACGU